CCAGUCGCACCUUGCGUGCGUUACCGUCUCCUCACGGGGAUAUCCUUUGUCUACGAGUACCCUUUUUCCUCAGCAGGCCUGCCUGCUGGGGGACCGAAUCCACUCUUUUAUAUAUAUCUGUCUGAAAACCAAUAAAUUAAUUA
rnacentral:misc_RNA from 1 species